UACAGAGGUCCCAAGCGUUACUGAGAAUCACUGGGUUUAAAGGGUGCGUAGGUGGUCCGUUAAGUCAGUUGUGAAAUCCCCGGGCUCAACCCGGGAACUGCUUCUGAUACUGGCGGACUUGAGGCCAGUAGAGGUCACUGGAACCGACGGUGGAGCGGUGAAAUGUGUAGAGAUCGGGAGGAACACCGGUGGCGAAGGCGGGUCUCUGGGCAUUUCCUGACGCUGAGGCGCGAAAGCGUGGGGAGCAAACGGG
rnacentral:rRNA from 1 species